rnacentral:rRNA from 1 species
GAUGAACGCUGGCGGCGUGCCUAAUACAUGCAAGUCGAGCGAACGGACGAGAAGCUUGCUUCUCUGAUGUUAGCGGCGGACGGGUGAGUAACACGUGGAUAACCUACCUAUAAGACUGGGAUAACUUCGGGAAACCGUAGCUAAUACCGGAUAAUAUUUUGAACCGCAUGGUUCAAUAGUGAAAGACGGUCUUGCUGUCACUUAUAGAUGGAUCCGCGCUGCAUUAGCUAGUUGGUAAGGUAACGGCUUACCAAGGCAACGAUGCAUAGCCGACCUGAGAGGGUGAUCGGCCACACUGGAACUGAGACACGGUCCAGACUCCUACGGGAGGCAGCAGUAGGGAAUCUUGCGCAAUGGGCGAAAGCCUGACGGAGCAACGCCGCGUGAGUGAUGAAGGGCUUCGGAUCGUAAAACUCUGUUAUUAGGGAAGAACAUAUGUGUAAGGAACCGUGCACAUCUUGACGGUACCUAAUCAGAAAGCCACGGCUAACUACGUG